GGGUUUCAGUGGUAUAUGUGCGUUAAUUUCUCGCGCAUCUUCGUCCCUUAUCAGCAAUUCCGGUUUUGGCCGGAGAAGAAAAUAUUUCCUGCUCGUUGCAUGUGAUACAGCAUAAGAUUCCAUUCGAAGCAUAAGAUUCCAUUCGAAGUAACGUAACAGGAUUCGCUGUUGCACCAUCUUCCAUUCUUCUCCGGAUCUACCCGCUGAGGGUGGCACGUGUGAGUCCAAGCGUGAUUGGAAAUGCAACAUUGCUUAGAGUUACGAGAGUUAUGGAAAUCUCUUGAGAGAAAGAACACUUUUUAAGCGAGGAAACGCCUCUCUAAGAGAAAACUUUUAAAUUCUCGACAAGGAAGCCCCAUAAAAUUCUUCUUUGUUGUGUUGCUAUCAUAAAAUAGCGUUCUUCGCUUCUGAAAGCUCCAUUCGUGCCCACCUACCGAUCGAGGAAGACGCUACCAAUCCCUGAAUCGAGGGACUACGCGCUUUCAAUCCCUUACAGCUGCCUUCCAAGCCCUUCCACUGCCCGAACUACCAAUCGCCCCACUAUCUGCUAGUCUGGUUCGACUCGAACUUCUGUCAUGUCAAGCAUAAUGGAAGCAAAAAUGUUAUGGUUCACUUGUUGGAGAAUUUGUAUUGAAGAAUGUUGUAUCACCUUGUAAAGCCGAUAUAUGAACUCUUGGG
rnacentral:lncRNA from 1 species